rnacentral:snRNA from 1 species
AUGCUUGCUUCCUCAGUACCUAUACUAAAAUUGGAAGGAUACAGAGAUUAUCAUGGCCCCUGCACAAGAAUGGCAUGCAAAUUUGUGAAGCAUUCCAUAUUUUC